UAAUACAGAGGAGCCAAGCGUUGUCCGGAUUGACUGGGCGUAAAGCGCACGCAGGCGGGUGCGCGCGUGGGGUGUGAAACCGGGUGGCUUAACUGCCCGCCGCCAUCCCAUACGGCGCGCCUGGAGCCAUCCAGAGGUCGGUGGAAUUGCCGGUGUAGUGGUGAAAUGCGUAGAGAUCGGCAGGAACACCCAGGGGGAAACCAGCCGACUGGGGAUGUGCUGACGCUGAGGUGCGAGAGCGUGGGGAGCGAACCGGAUUAGAUACCCGGGUAGUCCACGCCGUAAACGAUGAUCACUCGGCCUUUGGGAGCGGUAUUCCCGUUCCUGGGGGCCUCAGCUAACGCGGUAAGUGAUCCGCCUGGGAACUACGAGCGCAAGCUUA
rnacentral:rRNA from 1 species